rnacentral:rRNA from 2 species
UACAGAGGGUGCAAACGUUGCUCGGAAUCAUUGGGCGUAAAGCGCACGUAGGCGGUCCAGCAAGCGGGGAGUGAAAGCCCUCGGCUUAACCGAGGAAGUGCUUUCCGAACUACUGGACUUGAGUACUGAAGAGGGUCGCGGAAUUCCCGGUGUAGAGGUGAAAUUCGUAGAUAUCGGGAGGAACACCAGUGGCGAAGGCGGCGACCUGGGCAGAUACUGACGCUGAGGUGCGAAAGCGUGGGGAGCAAACAGG